CAUGGAAGAGCAGCAAGAAACACGGACGAGCGCUGAUGAACUGCAACUGUGUGCGUGCAACAGCACCAAACGGCAUGUGACGACGGACAGUGUGUGGAUGUGUGUGUGUAAUUUUAGGCAGCGAAGAUGGAUCGAGGUUAUGUUUACAAAGUGAAAGAGUUUGAUGCAGAAGCGUCUUUGUGAUAAACAUGUAUUUUAGUUGCAUAAUUUCAGUGUUAAAGUUUGUAAUGUGAACUUAAAAGUAAUGACCAAUGGUGCUAUUCACUUGUGUGCUGUUGGCGAAUAUUGAAGCGUUGAAAUAUUGAAGCUUCCUAUGUUAGUUUGUUGUGCUUAGUGUGAAGCAAAAAUGUGUGCUAAAGUGUUAUAAAUUAGAAAUAUGUAUACGUAUCCGUCUAAUGUUCGGUUGUAUCUAUCUAAUUUUCCAUAUUUUUGGGUGUCCUUAUCGUUUACCAGGAGAAAACUAUAGAUGGAGGUUAGAUACGUGCAGCUAUUUCGCCUCCGCAGGAAGGUACACCGUGCAAGAAAAGUCCCAUCAAACAACACGUCUAAAGCCUCAUGCAUCCUGUUGUUGGCAUCCUGGCUGCUGAUAUCUGCAUCUAUUAUUUAAGUAUAACUGCCAAAUGCAAAAUCAUCUCCAGCUAUUUUUGCUUCAAAUGCAUCAAACUUUUGUUCAUUUUCGAUUUUUUCUAUUGCUAAACUCUGCGCAUUUCUUCUUAUACCCUUCAUAGGAUUCAGUAUUGUGGACUGCUCAUUUAAAAUCACCAUUAUCUGUGCGCUGCGUGCAUCUAUUUUCAUUAACAGCAUCCGACAACGAAGGCAGCAGCUUCCAGAAUGCUCUGUAGAAGUAAUUGAAAAGACUGCUUGAUUUGCUCCUGCUGCAGUCUGGUGUUCAUCGUCGGUGAUCAUCAUUAUUAGUGACGAAGGCAGCACAGGCAAAUUUAUCACAACAGGACCAGUUACUCGUUCAGUCGUUAUGUACGUUAUGCGCUUGUCGAUGGCACUGAAUUACCACCAUCAACUAUCUUGCCUGGCGGACGGAUCUGGCUAGGAACACAGAUCCUCUAGGAGCCGCUAUCACCGAUGCAGAAGCACUGGUGGGUAAUUGUUGUCUUACAACAGCGGACAUCAUAUCACGCUGAUUCUUCGGAGCAUGAACUUCGACAAGCGAUGCAAUCGAUGGUACUGCAGAACCCGCCAAUGCCUGUUGUCUACCGAUCUUCAUGCCUGAUUCCUGCGGUAGAGCAUCAGCAACCGGUACCACUGAUGGCGCAGCAGUACUAGUUGACGGUUGCUGUCCAUGUUGCUGGCCUAACGGACGGAAUGGUGCAAGAACAUCAGCUGUUCAUCAACACGGACUGGCAUUCUUUGUUGACUCGCGGUGACCGGCCACUGAAACCACCGAAGGCACUGCACUUGUUGUCGGAAGUUGUCCAACAACACGGACCGGCAAUCUGGGGGGACGGAUAGCACGAGGAAUGGCAACCGGAACCACCGAUGGCACUGCACUUGUCGUCGGAAGUUGUCCAACAACACGGACUGGUACAUCUGACUGACGAAGCUACUUAUCACAUACCCGCGUUUUAUGUCCCCAUUCUUGGUGUUUCCGGGUUACUCGCCAUCGCGCUGUAGUCGGAUCAUACUGCACCUGUCCUGCUUCGAUUAAUGCCUCCCCUAAGACAAAAUUAGAGCACGCGUUCCUAUUCCUCAUCCUCCGGCGCUGUGUGGAGAAUGUGGGAGUCACUGCUCUAUAAAAACCACCGGACUACCACAAACUGGAAACAGCGGAAAACCCCGUGGGUCACCGGCCACCAUGCUAAAUUGAAGCAAAGUUGAACUAAUCUGCCGCGUCGUGUAUCAGAUUGCAACUGCUAAUAAUUUCGUCGUCUGAGGCGGACUGUUAUGGAGGUACCAAAUCUUCAGUAAUGAUGAAUGCGUUCACGCUUCUACGAGCCGGUAAUUGGCGGUAUCCAGAUUAUCGUCGUACUGUUAGCUUACCUAAGCUACCGAAAUUAGCGACAGUGUAAAAUCUGUGCUGUAAGAAUUACGAAUGGUCGUGGUAGACGCGUUAGGAUUGCAAGGCGAUAAUUGCGCUCUGAAAAUGCUAGCACAGAUGUUUGGGCCACAGAGGUGACGUUCCGAGAAUGUAAAAACAUGCCGGGCCCACAGUUUCAGAUAAGCCGUUCUCAUCAUAGCCGUACCAUGUACGGUCGGCUAGUUACACUUCAUCACGAAGGACAAUCACAUCUAGGUGACGGAAUGCUGCCAAAACGAUGAAGCUGGCUUAGUCCUCGAUGACGACGCAACUCCUGUACGUUCGUCGUCAUACUAUCAUUUUAACUGGAGGCAUGUUUGUUUAGGCGGCUACAACAAAUUGUUUGAACAUGUUCAAUGAAACAAACAUGUUGUUUUGGCUUCUCACAAUUAUUGAUGAAUGCUGGAAAUCUCCGUGAUAGCCGUUUUAUUGCGCUGAAUUAGGUUUGUAUGAAAAAUAGUGUAUUUUUAGAAUAUUUAAUUAUCAAUAAAAUAACGGUCGAUUUGAAAA